rnacentral:rRNA from 1 species
CCUACGGGUGGCAGCAGUGGGGAAUAUUGGACAAUGGGCGAAAGCCUGAUCCAGCCAUGCCGCGUGUGUGAAGAAGGCCUUCGGGUUGUAAAGCACUUUCAGUGGGGAAGAAAGCCUUGGGGCUAAUACCCUCGAGGAAGGACAUCACCCACAGAAGAAGCACCGGCUAACUCCGUGCCAGCAGCCGCGGUAAUACGGAGGGUGCGAGCGUUAAUCGGAAUUACUGGGCGUAAAGCGCGCGUAGGCGGUCUGAUAAGCCGGUUGUGAAAGCCCCGGGCUCAACCUGGGAACGGCAUCCGGAACUGUCAGGCUAGAGUGCAGGAGAGGAAGGUAGAAUUCCCGGUGUAGCGGUGAAAUGCGUAGAGAUCGGGAGGAAUACCAGUGGCGAAGGCGGCCUUCUGGACUGACACUGACGCUCAGGUGCGAAAGCGUGGGUAGCAAACAGGAUUAGAUACCCCAGUAGUC